rnacentral:snRNA from 1 species
GUGCUCACUUUGAGUAGUAUAUACAUUAAAAUUGUAACCUUACAGAGAAGAUUAGCAUGACCCCUGAGCAAGGAUGACACACAAAUUUAUGAAGUGUUCUAUAUUUAA